UUCUGAUGCAAUGCCUGUCAACAA
rnacentral:siRNA from 1 species